CCCACUGCAAGUUACAACCCGUCUCCAGCUGUCCUCCCCAAACCGCUACACCUCCGACAAGAGAGGAUCCUGGCGGGCCGAGACACAAAGUCGGGAGACCUGUAGAUUCCGCCUGGGCCACACCUGCGGCCGCUCUCUUGGCCUCUCUGGGCCCAAGCUCCCUCCUCUACAAAUAAAGCGGUUCCAGAAAGAACCUUUAGAGCCACCCCUCAGAUUGGAAAUGCUGUGUGUGAACUGUUUCCCAAGGGCAGCUGAAAGGAAAGCGAGGUCUUGGCAGCCCCUCUUUGAAGCCCAGGGAAAAGUCCCCUUGUCUCCCUUGGGAAAAGAGAUGGAAACUCAGCAAGAGGAAUGAAAGGAAACCAGGAAGAAGGGCCAUGUGCUGUCCUGUCUGGGGUUCACAUGAGCGAGUCACUGAUUCUUACAGCCACUCCAAGGACAUGAGUGAUUUUGAUGCCCCUGGGUCUGCUUUCAGAAUGACCCCAGUAACCACAAAUUGCUCUCUCCCUUCUCCUGAUGGAGAUUCAAGCAAGUUUCCCCUCUCAGAGGCACAUCCAGGCCCAGAGCUGAUGUUCAGUGUGACGUGCGCAAGGCCGGCGUGGUCCUCAGAGGCUGGCUCACCAGCUGGCUGAAGCAUCGCAGCGCGGAAUCUUGCAGACGCAGGCGGAUGGUGGGAACCAAACCGCGUGGGAGGACUUGAGGUUCCCAGACGGCCUGGAAGUAGCAGCCCCUCUGCUGCUUCCCCCGCCUCAUCAGCUUGAGGAUCCUUAGCUAUGUGGAAAUAAUGCCAACGAGAGCGGGCAGGUCCCUUAGUUAACAGUCAUUACCACAGGGUGUGGGCCUGAAAUCCAGGCCCAGUCAGGGCAAUGUGAAGGAAGCUGGUCUAGUUACUCUGGUGAGUCCUCCCCCAUCAUAAAGAAAUAUACACAUACACACAAAUACGGCGGGGCUGUCUUCUCUGCCUCUGGACCUUCUCUGAGGAUGUGGUGUCUGGAAGUUGGCAGCAUCUUGAAACCGUGGUGGUUGCUAAUCUGAGGACAAGGCCCAGGAGAAUGGCAGAGAGAAAAACUAGACACAAAUUGGACCUUGAUGGUUGCAUUCCGUUAGCCACCUCUGGAGCUGCAUAUCUCUGGAGUUCUUCAGCGAGACGUUGCAUGUCUUAAUGCUUAAGCCAGCAGCACCAAGGUUUUCUAUUGUUUACAGGCAAAAACAUAUGAAAUGACUUACUGCCGCAUAGAUUUGAGUAGAAUAAAUGAAGUCAUUCCUGUCAAGUGUUUAACACUGUGAAGUAUUAACACUGAUCAUCAAUAGAACACUUUAUUGUGAAAUUAUAUACUGCUUUCUUCUUAACUAAUAUGUGUCCUAUUUCUUCAAAUGUAUAUGACAACAUUUUUGGCAAGAAUCUAAGAUUCUGCAUCUUUGGUGCCCAACUCAGUUGCCAAACAAAAUGCAUAGUAGAUGUUUAAUAUCUGUUUCAUAAUUAAUCUAUACAUAUAUACUUUUUUUCCUCUAAAUGUAACCCUGAUGGACAAUAUAAUCCAGCUGCCCUUGUUAGCUGGGUGGAGAUCCUGUCCUCAAGAAGUCAGUUUUAUUUUGCCACUGAGCAGUGAAUUCCAAAAGAAUCUAAGCAAUUUGAAAAAAGGGAAUAGGCCAGACCUUUGUAAAACUGGAAGGUUCCAGAGUCACAGGCGGUCGGGGCUGGGGAGGGCCUGGGGAUCAUCUGGUCUAUCUUCCUCGCUUUACAGCUGAGGCCCAGAGACCUCCUUAUGGUCACGCAGCCAAGGGCCAGGCCAGGACUGGACUUCACCCUCCAGCCUCCGCCUCAGUCCCUUUCCUUUCUGUGUCAUUACUUUCUCAACUUUCUCCAGAGUCAGCUUCUCUUACAACCUGAAUAAAGAGGACACCGUCUCCCCA